GCCUCUCAAAUAACUAGCUCAUAUCAUCAUAACCCGUGCCUUACGUAACUCUCCUGUAAAUAAAAUUCCUGUUCUAUGAAAUAAAAUCUAACCAAUUCAUCAAUUCAAAACAGUCUCUUUCUCAGGUAAAACCUUGAAUUUCUGAUAAAUUCAGUUAUGUUCUUUCAUUAUGUUACUAUCUUUUUAAUAUCUUUCAGGAUUUAAUCAGUAGUAAUAUUAAUUAGUGUUCAUUGAAUAGUGUUAAUUACUGAUUUUUAAAAAUCAAUAGUAUUUACUAAUAUGCUUAGUUUUAUUUAGAAUAUGCUGACUUCGAUUUACAAGAUCUUGCCGUUUGAUAUAAGACUAUUGGUAAUUUAUGAUUUGUUUGACUUUGGAGUGUGUUCUUUAAUUACUCCAUUGAAGUGUUUCAAAAAGAAAAGAUAAACUUAUUAUUAUUAUUAUUAUUAUUAUUAUAUAUGUAUAUUAUAUUAUUAUUUUGCUUUCAAAUUUCUAAUUAACUAGUUAGUACUGCAACUACUGAUCCCUGUCCUUUUAAUGACUAUUUGUUUUGUUUGAGGAUGGGAGACGUUAUUUUUUGGUCUGAUUUUAAAAUUGAAAGCCAAGUGCCUGAAUCUAUUGGCAUUUCUCUCAAGGACAACUUAAAAUAGCCGAAUAUUCAGUUAAAAAAUUUAAAUUUAUUUCGUUUUUAAUUAUUCAUUUAAUUUUAUAUUAUAUUUUAAUUUAAUUAUUUUAUAAAUAAAAAAAUUGACAUAGUAAAAGAAUAAAAAAAUAAAUUAAAUAAAAACUGACAUAUAAUAAAAACUGAUAAAAAUAACAGAGAGAAAAUACUAAUUGAAAAACCAACAAAAAAAUUAAUUAAAAAAAAUAACAUGUCAAAAAUUAGUCAACCAUAAAUAAAAUUAAAUAAUUAAAAUAAAAUAAAUUAAAGUUUAUACCAAAAAUAAAACUUAAUGACGUUCACAUAAUAAAAGGAAAAUACUUUGGUGUGCUUAAAUUUACAUGUGCUUACUUUUAUUGAAAACACGCAUUACUCACACAAACAUGAUCAUAAGUUGGUGAGUAACGAACUUUAUUUACUAGCACAGCGAUAUAGUAACCUGCCCUGCAGGUGGGCAUUCAGAAGAAGAAUGUUCGGAUUUGGCACUGCUCGGGCAGGCCGCAGGAAGAUGGAAUGCUCCUUGCCUUCUGCAUCACCUCCUGGUACUGUUCUCUUUGCAUCUGCUGUUCACUCUCAAUCUGCUUCUCGACUGCAACCUGGAGUGCCUCACAUUGGCAUUCAUCUCUCACUUGCUUUAAUUCAUUGCAGCACUCCUGAAGCUGAUGCCUCUCCUGCUGGUCUUUUUCUCCGGGCAUCUCCAACACUUCUCCGUCUGUUGAUCUCCUUGAACUUGAUUGCGACAAGUACAUCUGACAGGCCCUGAACUCCUUCCCGCGAAGAUCCCGGAAGCAUCUCUCCUGUGUAUUGGUGUCGUCGACCUCAACAGUGGUGAUAGUGGUUCUGUAGGCAAAAGAGGCAUUGGCAAUGAUGAAUAAGAGAACGCUAAUAAGAGCUACUGCGGGUAUGAGCUUCGCCAUUGUUAUAAAACUUACAGUAUCAUAAUAGCUCCUAGAGGGUAUUAGAUUAGUGGAUGGAGAAGGAGAGGUCAAAGGUAAUGGGGGUAUUAUAUGAGAUUUUGGGGAGUGCAUGUGAAGAACGUGGAAGAUGUAUGAAAUGGCGAAUCACUUCUGGCAAUUUUAUGUGGCUGCAUAUGUUUUUGAGGUAUGGUUUAUGCUUACACGUAGGGCAGCAGCAUGCAAAUUCUGGUUUGAUAAUAUUUUUCAUUUUUGUAUGGAUUUAGCGUUUAAUAAUGAUGUUCUAUUUAAAUAUAACCUUUAUGCAACUAGUGGGGAAAUCAAUUUUGACGAUUCUUUGGUCUACUUUUUUUUUUUCUUAAACACUUUUAGUCUGUCUUUAUUAUUAUUAUUAUUUUAUUUGCAAACAAUGAACUAAAAUGUUUUUCUUUUUAACGGUCAUAAAUUUAAAUUUAAGUUUUAGAGUGAAUUUUAUACCCCUAGUUCACAACGAUUUAAUUUCUUUUCAAUAUUUUUAUGAAUUUUUUUUAUUAAUUUAUUUACAUAAAUUUCUUUUUGAGCAAUUGAUUUAGUAUAUAAGAUUUAUAAAUUUUAUUACAUCUUUUAAUGUAAAUUUAAUUUAAAUUUCAUAUAUCUUUUAAUCUAAACUUAAUACAAGUUUUGUAAAUUUUUAUUAAAUAAAUAUGUAAAACCCGAUCUUAUACGUAUAGGAGAUUGACAUUGUAGAUUUAUACUGUAAACGACAUGCUAACAUACCAUCAAUAUAAUUAACACAAGUAUAACCUAAUGAAUUAAGACAUCCAACAAACAACAAUAAGCAUUUAACACUUAAUUUUUAAUAAGGAAUAUCGGCGCCUGAGUUAAAAGGUAAGAGUGACAAAAAUAGAUCUAAUAGUCCAUAUGCUAAGAAAAGAAUAAUAUACAGAUUAACAUAAAUAAUAGUAAAGUCUAUUAGCCUAACCUUCACUCAACCUGAUUUUUUUGAAGUGGAAAUAAGGAAAACGUUUUAUAGAAAUGAACUAACUGAGCAACAAAAUUAAUCUAAAGAAGUUAAUAAUAAAGGGGUCAGUAUAAACUCAUGAGAAGAUAAGGAUCUAAGAAGAGUGAAUAAACAAGGGAUUAUUUACAUUAUUUAAGUAAAAUUCUAACUGGCUGGAUAAAUAAAAAUUUAAAUAAAACCAUAAACAUUAGCAUCUAAAAUAGAUUAUUAAAAAUCGAUUUGUUGAAUUGUAAUAUAAGUAUUGAAUUUAAUAACAAUGUUAUAUAUAUACUCAUGAAAGCAUCCAGCAGAUUCCUAGCAAUUUUGGAGGUUGAGAUGUCUCAUCUAUGCAGAACUUAAGAGUAGACAAUCAGUUAUAUACGCGUAGACAAACUUCCAUAAGGCACCACCUAGUAUAUAUCUUUAAAGACACUAUGUGCACUAAGCAUUGUCCUAAAGACAAUAUAUCUUACUAUCACCUGAGGUCCAAUGUGUGGUCAUAUAGGCUACAAUCAUGUAUAUUCAUUUAUCCAGCUAAUAAAAUUCUCUAAUUUACAAUAAAUAGAAAAGACUAAAAAUACUGUUAUCCGUUUCCAAUUUCUCUCAUAGAAAAAUAAAGGCAAUAAUUUUAAAUUAUAAUUGAAUAAAAGACUUGCAUAUAAAUAAAUUUGUAAAAGCAUACAUAUAGUAUAUUUAAAAACUAUGAUGAUAUAUAUUUAUCCACUCACCUAGAUUGUAAAGGAGGAAAGACUCCUAGCUAGCUGAUGGACUGCUAGAACUUGCAGUAAAUUCAGAAUCCUUACCUAAAAUAAAAAAAUAAAUGUAAAAAGAAAUAAGGAUUCAAACCAGCUAAAUUAAAUUUGAAAAAGCGACUAAACAUGAAUGCAAUGCAGACGAUUUUCUAAAAUUCUACUAAAAAUUCGACAGUUCUUAUAAUUGGAUUAGUUCUCCCAAUAAAACAAGUCUAUAACUUGUAGAAAAUCACUUCUAUAUUUAUCCAAAAUUCACUCGAGCUUCCAACUACAUAUAAAGCCCAAUUAGACCAAUUCUAGAGCAAAACAAAAUUAUUGAGCCUUACAGAGCUUUCUUUAAUAAAUUAUAAUAAUAUUUAGAUUUAAAUAAAUUAUUAUCAUAUUCAAAUUUCAAAUAAUUAAAUUGUCAAUAUUUAAAUAAUUCUCCACAACUCACCAGCUAAUUUAAUAAAUUUAUUUCUAGCAUUUAAAUAAUUUAACGAUUUUAUAAUCACUUGAUAACUCACAAUUAAUAAUAAAUUAACCGAAUCUAAUAUUAUAAAUUUAAUUCUACAAUUCAUACUAAAAAUAAAUUAUUCCGUCCAAAAAUUUUGAAAUUAAUUUGCGGACAUUUUGCCCCUCGACACGCAAAUGGGAGAGCGGCCACUUGCGAUGGCCGGAAAAUUUCAAUUUCGCCAAAAAAUGCAAUCCCAUCUUAUUUUUGGCUCCUUUAUCCCACCUUAAAAGCUAAGAAAAGGAAGAAGUGGUCCUAAGUCUAUAAAUAGUGGAUCUUCUCUCUCCUUUUCCAAGAGUUAAGAAAAACAAUAGGCCUUAUAUUUCUAUGAGCUAAAUUGUAUUUCUCUUAGUAAUAUGUCUUUUGUAAUUCUAUUGAAUUAAAAAAAUAUUAUUUUGGUAGUGCUCGAGAAAGUAAGCAUAUUUUUUGCCGAACCUCGUCUGGUGUUUCUUUUUUUAUUAUGGAUAAUUACAUGUGAUAUAUUGUAUCUAAAAUUACCUAAGAAUUUAUUUCUUAGUUGUGAUUUUUCGUGUAAUUUAUUCGAUUGCAGUGGAAAGGAACCCGAUUUCCACGACAUCCCAGACCACCCAUUCGGAGCUCUCGACGUCAGGAGUCCAUAUUCGCCUAACUCCUCACUGUUUGUGCAAGUCGGACCGGUGAAGAAUCGGCUCUGGCGCGAGGCGAUCCCACUCCUCUGGCAAUGGCAGCGGCUACUAAAGCUUCAGGCAGACUCCUUUGAGGCUGGGAGUUCAUUUUCAGCAACCUCCCACGCUGAUAAUGCCUGCAAUAACCCGAGUAAGACUGGCAGCCGUUUCUCCCCCUUGCUUCUUGAUUUUUCGGCGCGAAAAAUAGUCAAGCUCCAUUAGAGAUGAGUUCAAUUGGUAGGAGACAACGAGGACAUGGUGUUUUGGGUGCUAACAUGGUGGUGAGGGUAUGGAGGUCAAUGGGUAGCGGGGAGGGGAGGAAGAGAAUGUGUAUGCUAAAGGGGAGAGUGAGAGGGGCUAAAAAGAAAAGGGAGAAAAUUGCACUUUUGGUCCCUAUUUUAUUUCCUAUGUAUGCUAGAGUUUUGUUUGUUAAAAGUUAAGAAAUUUUUUAGCUAAGUUGCUUAAUUCAAGAGUUUAAUGGGAAUUUAGCUAAGAUUCUUGGAAUAUUAAGAAUAAUCAAUAAUGCUUAACUGUGUAGUAAAAUUGAUUAUGUAUUUUUAAUAAGGAUAUUGUGAUAUAAGUAAUUAAGAUUUAAAAUAAUUAUACAUUCAUUCAAUAUAUAAUAAACUAAUAAAAUAAGUAAACUAAUAUGCAUAUAUAUAUAUAUCCAUAUUAUAUUUAAUAAAUACAUAUAAUAAAAUACUGGUAUAAAAAUAUGAAAAAUAAAUUAAAAUAAUGGUAGAGAAACAAGAGUGUUAUAAAAUAUGUAAAUUAUAUAACACUUUUAAUUCAUCUAGCUUUAUUUUUAUUUUGUUUCUAUUUGUAACUGUUGAUUGCAGAUUAAAUUACUUAUAAUACCUUAAUAAUAAAUAAUAUUUUAGAAAAUAGAUUUAAGUUUUAAUGGUGUCAAUUAGAUGCUAAAAUAAUAAGAUAACAUUGAAAAAAUAUAUUAUCAGUCUUUAUGUUUCUUUGAAGUUUGACGGUCAGCUUUUUAAAGCUGGAGGUCUCGAAUCCUUAUUGUGCGGUAGUCAGAGGUCUUGUGGCAAUUAGCUAAAUUUUAAGUGGCAAAAGUGUUUGCUCUUGAGAGUGAGAGAUUUUGAAUCACUGUUAAGUGGAAGUCAGAAGUCUCGAAUCCUUAUUGUGUAGUCCAAGUCUCGAAUUCUUAUUGUGUAGUCCAAGUCUCGAAUUCUUAUUAUGUAGUCCAUGGCUUAUUAGUGUUCGAUGAGAGUCAGAGGUCUUGAACUACUGUUAAGUGAAACUCAGAAAGCGUUGGAUGAGUUAAUUGAGUUGGAUGAGUUAAAAAAAAAAGUAUAUGACUGAAAAAGCAAUAUAUGUUGUUUCAGCAACGGAACUUCCAAAAGACUUGAAAUAUGAUAUCUCAUCUUGUUAAAAACCCCACCAACUUGAUGAACACUUAAAGAAAAUAUUUUGAAUUUAAGACAAUGAAUUGGAAAUGGGCAUUAGACUCGGUUUUAAAUCGAAAAAGCACAUCUAAAACAGAUGAAAAGAAAAAAAUAUUGUGAGAAAAUAUUAUAGAAACAAACUUCAACAAAGGAUUAAUUCACUUUUCACUUUGCAAAAUAUAGAAUUGAAUUUGAAAAACCUGUGGAGAGUAAUAGUAAUUUUUCCUGUUUUAUAUUUAUAUGAGGUCUGCAAACUAGUAGUGCAUUUUUGCCCCAUAAUAAUGACUAUUAAAUGAGGAGUUCAUGAACUGGAUAUUGCUCCUGAUGGGUUACGUGGUUUACACAGGCAGGUGUUAGCCACCGCAGGAUGGUUACUGUUAGUGUUUAAGGCCUUGCCUCCAUCUGUACCCCAAGAAAAAAAAAGAAAGAAAUUCCAUGCUUUGUAAAGGGCCGUUAUCUUGAUCUGAUUUUUUUGGCUUCUCUUGUACAUUGUCUGCCUGAUAUUGAAAAUCAAGCACCUGAGCUUUUUGACAUUUUUUUCUCCGAAGAAAAAUCUAAAAGUACUGGAAUUUUACUUCAUUUCAUUACAGAACACCAGAAGAUAACAUACUACCAAAAAUCUACUUUUUGUUGAAAAUAAACACAUUGCGCAAUGAACUUUAUUUACUGGACUGCCACAUUGAUACGUACAGUACCUGCCCUGACAGGCAUUCAGAACAAGAAUGUUUGGGCUAGGCACUGCGCCCGCAGAUCGCAGGAAAAUGAUAUCCUACCUGUCCUUACAAGCACUCUCUGGUAAUCUCCCAUUUGCGUCUGACGUGCACGGUCAAGCCACUCUGCGAUUAUAGCCUGGAUUGCCUCACAUUGGCAAUCUUCUCUUACUGGCUGUACUUCUUUGCAACACUCCCGGAGCUGCUGUCUCUCCUGCUGGUUUUUCUCUCCGGGCAUCUCUAACACAUUUUUGUCCGUUGAUGUCCUCGAACUUGCCGCUACGUACAUCAGACAGGCGCUCAAAUCCUUCCCCUCAAGUUCCUGGCGGCAAUUUUCUGAAGGCGACCAUAUUCCCGUCCUACUUGGAUUGGUAUCAUCGACCUCAACAGUUGUGGUGGCGGUUGUGUAGGCAAAAGAUGCAUUGGCAAUAAUGACCAAGAGAACGCUAAUGAGAGCUACUGUAGGUAUGAGCUUUGCCAUGGUUACAGAACUUAUAAUAUCAUAAUAGCACCUAAAGAAUAUAUAUAUACAUAUUGUUCUAGGAGCGGAUGAAGAAGGUGAGGUUAAAGGCAAUCAGUAUUUGAGGAGUGCAUGCAUAGAAUUUGGAAGAUGUAUGAAAUGGCUAGUCACUUCUCGCAAUUUCAUGGGGUGGCUACAUCUGGUUUUGCGGUCGGGUUUAUGCUUACACGUCGGGCAGCAACAUGCAAAUUCUUAAAAAUAAUGCUGAUUAUCAGGUCAAAUUAAGUUUUUAGCAUACGAAGGCAUUAUAAAUUCGGAUUUAUAAUGAGCACAAAAAAUUGAUUGAAAAGAUGCAUUUUGGUGAGGAGGCCCAACGAGGCCUCAGUCACUAAUUUAAUUUAAGAAUUGCAUAAGUAAUAAAAAGAAGCCCUUUUAUAUUAAUCGGACAUGUAUUAUUAAAUUUUUAUACUUUAAAAUAGUUCAAUGUCACUUUUUAAUUUUUUAAAUAGUACAAAUAAACUUAAAAUUUUAGCACCGUUAGAAUAUCAAUAAAUAAUAGAGUCUACUUAAAAUACUAACUAAUCAUAGGAUGACAUGUCAAUAUUAUAUUUUUCUUAUUUCAUUCAAAAAAAUUAAUUAUGACAUCAUAAUAAAUAAAUAAUAUUACUUUUUCUCUAACUCAUUUUUUUCACCUUUUUUACCAUUCUUCAAUCAAAUGAAACACUAUGUUUACAGAAUAAAAUAUAAUCAGAAUAAAAAUAUAAUCAAUCAAAAAGAAAUUGUUGAAUGUGAAGCAAUCCAACUCACCUUUUGCAGGAACAUCAUUGCCAUGAAGUAUCGCCCAGCCGUUGAUGCUACAUGUUCUUGCAUAUGGCUCUCAAUGCGAAUUCAAAUGCGAUGGUCGUCACAGAUCUCAUAAAUUCAGAAUUGAAAGAAUAAUCAGUGGAUUACUUGUUUCCAACAGGUCCAAUUUCAAGAGCAGAUGCAUGAUCUAGUGUGGGAUUUGGACUGAAUGCUUCCUGUAUCAGCUUAUAAUGCAUCAGCAAAGAACAAAGAGAAAUUUACAGAGAAGAACAUGAUUGUCUAAACUUUGCAGAAUCAAGGAGAAUAAUGCGACAGUCAGAAGUAGAAGAGGUGUAUAAUCAGCAAAAGAUGCACCAAUGGCAUCAGUAGCGAGGGCAAGGCGAGUUAACGGCAUCAAUAGCAAAGGCGAGAGCAGUAACGACAGUGAUGGUGAAAAAAUGACCAGUAAUAGUGACCGGCUUGUAGUAGUGGUUGGCAGUGGUGCUCAAUGGUUGUGCGUUAAAAGUUGAUUUUUUUGAAUUUAAUUAAUUACAUUUUUUAUCUUAUGCCAUUUAAGAACAUCACCCUUCUUGUCUUAGGAUGCUAAUCGCGAAAUAUGACUUUCGUUUUCCCAUUGAAGUUAGAAAGAAGUAUCAGAAAAGCCCAAAAACAGUAAUUUCGCUGGCGAUUUGCCAUGUUCAGCCACCUCAAAGUGUGAAGCUGACAACUCGCAUUAGCAGCACUUCAUUAUCGUCGGUUUUCACGUUAAUUAGACAUUGAAUGAGAAAGACUCGGAAAAUGAAAUUUAAGCUAUGAUUUUUUCUCCACCGGUUACCUUCGCUUUCAUCAUCGAUCGAGUAUACCAUAAUAUUAUCAUGCCCCUUUCUUUCUCAAUCUCAAUUUGUUUCCUUAGUAGAAGAUGGCAUAUAUAUAUAUAUAUAUAUAUAUAUGAGUAAACAAAUUUCUAUUAUUUUUUAUCAUAUGCAUGCUUCUUAUAAAUUCUAGAUAGGUCCACAAGUUAUAUAUGCCAGGUGGAUAUUUUUAGACUUUUAUUUUUUCUAAAUAAUUAAGUAUUUUAUUUUGAUUCAUUAUCAUAAUUAUCAAAUCGUAGUGUAUAACUUCAAAAAUUAAAUUAACUCUCAUCAAAAUGUUGAAAUUCUGAAAAAACAUACUGACAAUUAGAUUAACUGGAAAAAUAUAUUGAUUAGAAAUAAAAGAAAUUUAGUAAAAUAUUUAAUAAUAAUUUUAAGAAUUAAAUUAAACUUUUUUUUAUUAAUUAAUCCUUAAACGAAUUAACCAAAACAGAUGAAAAGAGAAAAAAAAAUUAUAGAAACAAAUGUCAACAAAGUAUUAAUUCACUUUUCGAUUUUCAAAAUAUAGAAUUGAGUUUGAAAAACCGAGUAAAUAGUAAUUUUUCUAUGAGGUCUGCAAACUGGCAGUGCUAUUUUGCCUCAUUAUGACUAUUAAUUGAAGAGUCUGGCAAGUUCUAAUAAGGCAUACUUGCUGAUCAUGACUUCUCAUUUGGAGUUGAUGACCUAGAUAUUGCUCCUAAUGGGGAACGUGAUUUACUCAGGCAGGAUUUGAAAAGGGCGUUAUCUUGAUCCGAGUUUUCUGCUUGAUAUUGAAAAUCAAGCACCUGAGUUUAUUGACAGUUUAUUUCUUUGGAGGAAUUUUACUUCAUUUCAUUACAUAACACCAGAAAAUAAUAUACUAACUAAUACAGGUUAUGUUUACUGUGUUGUAGUUACCGUAGUUAAUUAUUGAUGGUUGUUAUAUAGUUAGUUAUUGGAAUUAACACGUGGCAUAACUCUAUUGGUCAUAGGGUUUGUAAUUUGGCUAUAAAUACAUGCAUAAUGUAUGAGCACAGUAACAAGAAUAAUAAUUCAGUUUUCUUCAGUUUCUUUUCUUCGAAGUUUUCUGUUUCUUUUUUAUCUCAACAUGGUAUCAGAGCUAUUUUAGCUCAUUCAAUUCCGCAAUUUUCUGUUCAAAGUGUACUCUGAAAGCUAGCCUUUUUCUGGGUUUUUUCUUGUUCUCUUUAAAAAUAUAUUUCUUUUGUUCUUUUCUUAAUCAUUUACGAUCAAGAUUUGAUCUUUUACUUUGAUAAUCNNNNNNNNNNNNNNNNNNNNNNNNNNNNNNNNNNNNNNNNNNNNNNNNNNNNNNNNNNNNNNNNNNNNNNNNNNNNNNNNNNNNNNNNNNNNNNNNNNNNNNNNNNNNNNNNNNNNNNNNNNNNNNNNNNNNNNNNNNNNNNNNNNNNNNNNNNNNNNNNNNNNNNNNNNNNNNNNNNNNNNNNNNNNNNNNNNNNNNNNNNNNNNNNNNNNNNNNNNNNNNNNNNNNNNNNNNNNNNNNNNNNNNNNNNNNNNNNNNNNNNNNNNNNNNNNNNNNNNNNNNNNNNNNNNNNNNNNNNNNNNNNNNNNNNNNNNNNNNNNNNNNNNNNNNNNNNNNNNNNNNNNNNNNNNNNNNNNNNNNNNNNNNNNNNNNNUUUGAAACCUGUUCCUAGCUGUUCUUGUAAUCCUAGAUGUAAAUGUGGUGUUCUUAAUGUUGUUAAGAAGUAUCAAGAUGAUGAUUAUGUGAUAAAAUUUGUUAAAGGUCUUAAUGAGAACUUCAAUCAGUUGAAAACUCAGUUGAAGACAAUGGAUCCACUUCCUGAUAUUAGCAAGGUAUUCAAUAUGGUUUUGCAGCAUGAGAGAGAAUUGUCUGUUGGAAAAGAGAAAUCUGUAGAAUCUAAUGUGUUUCUUGCAAAAAGUUUUUAUUCUAAUAAUAGGGGUAAUAAUCAAGGAAUGCAACAGAAUAAAGGAAGUAGUCAAUCAAGUUUUAGAAGGACUUUACAAUCGAACAGUAAUGGCAACAUAAAGAGGUUCAAUAAUCAACAGAAUUUUAAUAGACCCAUGUGCACAUUCUGUGGAAUUUCAAGUCAUACUAUUGAUUCUUGCUAUAAAAAGCACGAAUUUCCACCUGGAUUCAAAUUCAAGAAACCUAGCUAUGCUAACUUUGUGGAGACAGAUCAGACAGAUGAACAGCAAGUCCAUGGAAAUGACAGUAAUAUGCAAUCUGCUAAUGGAAAUGCUUCUAGUUUUCAAUUUACUAAUGAGCAGUGUGCCAAAUUGAUUCAGAUGCUUCAACAGACUUCAGCUUCUAUGAAUUCACAACCUCAAGUGAAUGCUCUUGUUACAAACUUUGUACCUGAUCAAGAAACAGGUAUGCAUUUUGUAUCUUAUAUAGAAAACUCACCCUUUCAUGAAAAUUUGUGUAUUAUUGAUUCGGGUGCUACAGAUCAUAUAGUCUGCCAUACAAAUUUUUUUACUAGUUUUAAACCUGUUACAAAUGUUUUUGUACAUCUACCAAAUAGAUAAAAGAUUCUUGUUUCUCAUAUUGGUCAAGACAGGUUAUCUCCUUUCUUUAUUCUUGACAAUGUCCUAUGUGUUCCCACUUUUCCUUUUAACCUAAUUUCUACUAGCAAAUUAACCAAACACAAAAAUUUAUGCUUACUUUUACAUUCUGGAAAUUGUCUUAUUCAGGAUUUGAAUCUUAUGAAGACGAUUGGUAUAGCUAAAGAAUGUCAAGGACUUUACAAGCUAGUGAUGCCUCAAAAGUGUUUUAAAAAUGAUAUCUUACAGAACAACGAGCAUAGUGUUCAAGCAGUGUCAAAAUAUGAUAUAUGGCACAUUAGAAUGGGACAUUUAUCAAAUGAGAGGUUGAGAUUGUUACAAUCAGUUGAUAAUAGUAUAGUUUUACCUAGCAAUGAUCAUUGUAAAACAUGUCACUUUGCUAAGCAAAAGAAACUUUCUUUUCCUGUUAGCACAUAUUCUGUUAGCAACAUCUUUGAUCUAAUUCAUACUGAUAUUUGGGGUCCCUUUAGGACUGAAUCUUAUAGUCGUUACAAAUAUUUUCUUACAAUUGUUGAUGAUAGAUCACGAUAUACUUGGGUUUUUUGUAUCAAAAUGAAGUCUGAGGUGCCCAUUUUGAUUCAGAAUUUUUUUUAUCUUUGUGGAGACUCAAUUUAAUAAGAAAAUAAAAUGCAUAAGAUCUGACAAUGGAAAAGAAUUCUUUAUGCCUCAUUUUUAUAGAUCCAAAGGUACUAUUCAUCAAACUAGCUGUCCUUAUACCCUGCAACAAAAUAGUACAGUUGAGAGGAAGCAUCAACAUAUACUCAAUGUAGCUAGGGCAUUACUUUUUCAAGCUAAGUUGCCUUUAACUUUUUGGUCAGAUUCUAUCAUUCAUUCACUUUACUUAAUUAACCGAACUCCCUCUCCUAUAAUUGAUAACCUAACACCAUAUCAAAUUCUUUUUAACCAAAAACCUGACUUGACUGAUCUUAAAGUGUUUGGUUGUUUAGCAUAUGCCUCAACUAUUUCUGAACUAAGACACAAGUUUGAUUCAAGAGCUAUACCACCUGUCUUCAUUGGUUAUAUUCCAAAUACAAAAGGGUUUAAACUUUUUAAUUUGAACACAAAAACCAUUUUUGCAUCAAGACAUGUUGUUUUUCAUGAAAAUAUUUUUCCAUAUGAUACUAUAAAAACUCCUUAAGAUGUUUCUGUCAUACCAUCUGUUGUCAUGAAAAACUGUACUACUAAUGCUUUUAUUGAUGAUUGUAGCACUCACACUGAUAUGCCUACUGCAAUCAGAACCCUUCCAAAUUCUUAUAUAUCUGAUUCAAAUCUACCUUCAUCAUCCAUUUCUACUUCUCAAAUACUACCAAACUAUACAACCAAAUCUGACAGAUCAGUAAAGCCACCAAAUCAUCUUCAGAAUUACAUCUGCCAAACCACAAAAUCAAUCAAACACAUACCUCACCUCAUUCUCUUGACAAAGUCCUUUCUUAUAAAAACCUAAGCACUAAUUAUAGACACUAUAUCAAUCCUGUUACAAAAAUUAUUGAACCAAGGUCAUAUAAUGAAGCAAUCAAGCAUAAAUGCUAGCAAGAAGCAAUGGAUCAAGAGCUGGAUGCUUUACAGAAGAAUAACACUUGGAUUCUUUGUGAUUUACCACAAGGGAAGAAGCCAAUUGGCUGUAAAUUGGUUUAUCGAGUUAAAUAUUUGUCAAAUGGGUCCAUUGAACGUUGCAAGGCACGAUUAGUUGCAAAAGGAUACACUCAGCAGAAUGGAGUAGAUUUUCUUGAUACGUUCUCUUCAGUUGCUAAAGUUACAACAAUACGAACAUUGCUUGCUGUUGCAGCAACUAAGGGUUUUAUUCUAGCACAGUUAGACAUAAAUAAUGCUUUCCUUUAUGGUGAUUUAAAUGAAGAAGUUUAUAUGACUGUUCCCCCAGGUUAUCUUUCCACAAAAUCUAAUCAAGUUUGCAAGUUACAGAAAUCCUUGUAUGGAUUAAAACAAGCUAGCAGAUAAUGGAAUGCCAAGCUUACAGCUUCACUUCUUCAAGAGAAAUACAAGCAAUCUGAUGCUGAUCCCUCUCUCUUUCUCAAGAAAGAAGGUAAAUCAUUCACUGCUCUCCUUGUAUAUGUUUGAUGAUGUUAUCAUUGCUAGCAAUGACUCUGAUGAAGUGAAUCAUAUUAAGAAGUAUCUUCAUGAUAAGUUCAAGAUCAAAGAUCUAGGUACAUUAAAGUAUUUCUUAGGCUUUGAGAUAGCUAGGUCAGCCAAAGGGAUCAACAUUUCUCAAUGAAAAUAUGCUCUAGACAUCUUGAAAGACACAGGUUUUAUGGAAUCUAAACCUGUUUCAACCCCUAUGAUUCCUAAUUAGAAGUUUAAUUAAGAAUCAACAGGAAUAUUACAAGAUAAUUCUAUGUAUAGAAGACUUAUUGGUAAAUUGCUUUAUCUGUGUACAACAAGGCCAGACAUAUCCUUUGCAGUACAUUUUUUGAGUCAGUUUCUUGAUAAGCCUACUGAAUCACAUCUUCAAGCUGUACAUCGAAUACUUAGAUACAUUAAAAAGGCUCCAGGUCAAGGUCUGUUCUUUCCUAAGGAUUCUGAUUUAACUCUUAAAGCUUUUAGUGAUUCAGAUUGGGCAUCUUGUUUACAAACAAGAAAGAGGCUGAUUUCAUGGAAGUCAAAGAAGCAAAAUACAGUUGCUAAGAGCUCUUCAGAGGCUGAAUAUCGAGCAUUAGCUGCUGUAACUUCAGAAAUUCAGUGGCUCAGAUCUCUUCUUCAAGAACUUGAUAUGUUUCAACCGGCAGCAACCCCUCUUUAUUGUGAUAACCAAUCAGCUAUUCACAUAGCUCAAAACCCGUGUUUUCAUGAGAGGACAAAGCACAUAGAAGUUGAUUAUCAUGUUGUAAGACAACAACUUCAACAACAAGUUAUUCAUCUCUUACCUGUAAGAACUCAGAAUCAAGUGGCAAACUUUCUCACCAAAGCUCUUCCACCAUCUAUGUUCAACUCAGCAAUAGACAAGCUUGGCAUACACAAUAUGUAUGCUACAGCUUGAGGGGGGUAAUACAGGUCAUGUUUACUGUGUUGUAGUUACCGUAGUUAAUUAUUGAUGGCUGUUAUAUAGUUAGUUAUUGGAAUUAACACGUGGCAUAACUCUAUUGGUCAUAGGGUUUGUAAUUUAGCUAUAAAUACAUGCAUAAUGUAUGAGCACAUUAACAAGAAUAAUAAUUCAAUUUUCUUCAGUUUCUUUUCUUCGAAGUUUCCUGUUUCUUCUUCAUCUCAACACUAACAGAAACACACUUCGACGUACCUACUUUUAUUGAAAACAAACACAUUGCUCACACAAACAGGGCCAUAAGACGGUGAGCAAUGAACUUUAUUUACUGCCACAUUGAUACGGUACCUCCCCUGACAGGCAUUCAGGACAAGAAUGUUUGGGCUAGGCACUGCGCGCGCAUAUCGCAGGAAAAUGAUAUUCUACUUGCCCUUAUAAUCACUCUGUAGUAAUCUUCUAAUUGCCACGGACGUACUUGCUCCAACCACUCUGCGACGAUAGCCUGGAGUCCCUCACAUUGGCAAUCUUCUCUUACUGGCUCUACUUCAUUGCAAGACUCCCGGAGCUGCUGUCUCUCCUGCUGGUUUAUUUCUCCUGGCAUCUCCAACACUUCUUUGUCUGUUGAUCUCCUCCAACUUGAUUGCGCUACGAACGUCAGACAGGCGCUCAAAUCCUUCCCCUCAAGUUCCUGGCGGCAUUUUUCUGAAGGCGACCAUAUUCCCGUCCUACUUUGAUUGGUUUCGUCGACCUCAACUGUGCUGGUGGCGUUUGUGCAAGCAAUGAUGACCAGAAGAACGCUAACGAGAGCCGCUGUGGGUGCGAGCUUUGCCAUGGUUACAGAACUUUUAAAAUCAUAAUAGCACCUAGAAAAUAUAUAUUGUUCUCUACAAUAUAUGGAGCGGAUGAAGAAGGUGAGGUUAAAG
rnacentral:lncRNA from 1 species